CCUACGGGUGGCAGCAGUGAGGAAUAUUGGUCAAUGGCCGUAAGGCUGAACCAGCCAAGUAGCGUGAGGGAAGACUGCCCUAUGGGUUGUAAACCUCUUUUAUGCGGGGAUAAAGGUGUCCACUUGUGGAUGUUUGCAGGUACCGCAUUAAUACGGACAGGCUAAUUCCGUUCCGGCAGCCGCGGUAAGACGGAGGGUCCGGGCGUUAUCCGGAUUUAUUGGGUUUAAAGGGAGCGUAGGCCGUGCUUUAAGGGUGCCGUGAAAUUUUGGGGCUCAACCAUGAGAGUGCGGCGCGUACUGGAGACCUUGAGUGCGCGGAAGGCAGGCGGAAUUCGUGGUGUAGCGGUGAAAUGCGUAGAUAUCACGAAGAACCCCGAUUGCGAAGGCAGCCUGCCGCAGCGUUACUGACGCUGAAGCGCGAAAGCGCGGGUAUCGAACAGGAUUAGAUACCCCUGUAGUC
rnacentral:rRNA from 1 species